rnacentral:lncRNA from 1 species
GAGAAUCUGUUAGGCUAACAUUCCCUAACAGGCACGCCUGUUAGCCGCUGUUAGACCCCCUAUGAGUUGGUAGGGCUUGCCCCGCGCCUGGGUCCUGUCUCCUCUCCCCAUCACGCCUACCUCACCUAUCUUCCUCUGCCAUUCAGGCACUGCCGGAGCCUACCCUGCCCCAGAUCCUGGCUGCACACGUCAGCCCCACCAGAUGCCAGGAGUAUGACAGUGCGGUGUUUCCUGUUCUCCGUGGCUUCUAGGUGUACAGGUAUUGCCCCAGGGCCUUCAGCUCGCAAGCUAUGAUUGUAUGGGUAGUUUUACCUGCAGCUAGCCAUGUACAUGUAAUACACACAUAUGCAAGGUGAUUCAUAGGUGAUUUGAUUAUAGGUUAUGAAUUCGCUUAUCAUGAUCAUGAUGAGUGAAUCUGUUGAGUGAAUCUGUUAGAUUAAUCUAAGAGGCCUGUCUCGUAUUAUUACACCCAGACACAUGUCGAUGGUUUUCAUGAAAUUUCAUGGUAUAUUCACUGUUUUGCAAUCACUGUGAUGUAUUACCUAUCCGGG